AUUUUUAUUUUAUCUUCUAGCACUGACUAAUUCAUCCCCCAUAAGUUUUUCUCCUCAACCAAACCUUGUGCCAAAAACUAUAACUAUCAUUAGCGCUUCGGCCACCGCAAAAGAGUUCACAGAUCAUGACUCACGAGCUCUAAUACCGACAAAAUGAGAAUCUUAAUCAACAGACACGUAUCGUCACCUUAAAGAAAAUCGAGACAACAAAUUUGUGAUUCAUAGGAGACGCGUCGUCACUGUAAUUAAAGAUGAAGAAAAAUACAAAUUUUGACAAUGCAUUUCAGCCAAUCAAUAAAUAUAAAAGUAAGAAGUACGGAUCGAUCGUAUCCAUCCGCGUUCGUGUAGCUUCAGGGUCAUAACCGCGUUCGUCCUAUAGCCACGCGGCGUCGUAAGUAACUAAUUUUCCACGUGUCCACCCAUUCCUCUUUUCCUAUUUCUUCUAACCGUUUUAUUUUUAACUUUUAAAUUAAAU
rnacentral:lncRNA from 1 species